UCUGAACUUGAAGUGCCAAGUGAGGAGUCUAAAACUAUCUUAGAAAAUGGAUGCUCAUUUCAUCCUGAAUAACUCACACCACCUCCCUUGUUAAACCUGGAGUGGACACUGGUGUCUUACAAAAGUGCCCUUCUGCUCCCUGGCUCUGCUGGGGACAGUGCAAGGGAAGGGUUUCCCGGAGUCAGAUGGACCUGAGUUUGAAUACCACCCCUGCUCCUUGUCCUGCGCCCUUGGACAUGUUACCCUCCUCACUGACCUUUGACUUUGUUAUCUGUGAACUGCAGAAAUCGGCUUCGUAGAUGUGCUCAGAAGUGAACGAAUCAGAGGCUGUCAGCGCCAGGCCCCAAACCAUCGAGAGGAGAAGAAUGUUCUAGAAGAGCUUAAGUGGAGGUGGCACUCAAUCUGAGCACAUUCUGCACCAGUGAGAUGCCAUGAUCAAAGAAGGGGCUUUAGGAGUGUGACCUAGAGAAGGAACACAGCGCCCGGGCUUCAGUCAGCUUUACUCCUGCAGCCAGACGCACUCAGCGGAGCCCUUGGGGGCGCGUUUUCAGCUCUUGCUUCCUGUGGGCAGAGGUGGAACUUGACUUACGUGUAUGGCAAUCUCUUCUUAACUAUUUGCUAAAUCAUAUGUAGUUUCUAUAGGCAUCACCUCAACUUUUAAUGUGCCCAGAUAAAAGGCAAUAGUUGAGGAGUCUAUGUUUAGAUCAUUGUUGAAAAUUCUAAGCCUAAUAGAUUUUCAAGGACUCCUUCUUUGUGUAGAAAUACACCCAUGGCCAUGCCCUUCUGCACUAGGCAACGUUGGACGGUGUCUUUGCAUCCAAGGAGACUUCCCUGUUCUGCACCAAACUGCUGCCUUUCAUUAAGAGCCCAGGUGGCUCAGUCGGUUGAGUGUCUGCCUUCAGCUCAAGGUCAUGAUCCCAAGGUCCUGGGAUCAAGCCCCAUGUUGGGCUCCUCGCUGAGUGGGGAGUUUGCUUUUCCCUCUCCAGCCCACCCCAUCAUGCUCACUCUCGUCCUCUCUCUCUCAAAAAAAAUAAAUUCUUAAAAAUAAAAAAGAGAGAGAAAGAGAUUAACCAACAGUUUCUGCUAUCUAGCUGGGAUUGGCCUGGCUUCUGAGGGCUCUGAGGGGAAAUGAGAAAGCGUCAGGAAAAUCGAGAACUGGCUCACUCCAGGGGGAAGGGCCUUUCCUCAAGGAGAUGACCCCUCCUGAGUGAGGGCCUCAGGGGCAUCUACUCCACUUGGUCCUGUCAAAAAGCAUUUCUCCUUAUGCUCUUUUAUCCUCCUGGCACCACAUUAAUCCCUCGGAGACCCCACAAAAGCCUAGAUCUGAAGGCUCACGUGUUAGAAAUGGAACUGCCAAUUAAAGGAAAGGAAUAAGCUGCAGCUUUAAAAACACAACUCCCCCCGACUAGGAGACCCGAUUUUCCCCCCUGCCCUCCAUGGAGUCACAGCAGUGAAGGAGUUGGGGCAGCUGGCACUGCUGUUGGUCCAUAUGUAGCCAUCAGACCAGCCGACCCACGGGAGCCCAGUCUGAAGAGAUGUAUGGCCUAAACACGGUAAAGGGGGCAUCAUGUCACCUACCUGCAAGGCCAGGGACCCUCCAGGAGCAACUCCAAUUACAGGACAAUGCCCUUGUCACCACUGCCAUGAUGGGUCACUCACUGCUGGGAGUGGACCCCCACCUUGCCCUCAGUGAUGGGUACCAGUCACUAAGAGUAUCCUCAUGCUUGGAAGGAAAUCCCUAUGCAUGUCACUUCCGGGGUAAACCUCUAUUUAUUUUUCAACUAAAUAGAAGAAUCAAACAGCCAGAUGUCCCUUCUGUACAUCUUUAUUAACCAACAAGAGACCUGACAGCCGUCACCAUUUGGUUCCUCAGGACUCAAAAAAAGCAACACUCACACAACACCGUGGGGCCAGGCCCUGGCUCAGCUGAAUCACAUCCACAGCCUACGCUCACCACUGCACCCAGAGACCCGCCGUUCCAGGGCCUGACACUGAAAAGGUCCUGGAGUCAAAUGUUAAGUCCAGGAAAAUUUGGUGGAAAGUAAACGUGCUCUCAAAUUGCAGUUCUACUGGGUGAUGAUCCACCUCAUCUGAUAACCUCUGGCAAACUAGGAAACUCACCUUCUUCUUCCUACUGGUGAUAGCUGACACUGUUGUGUGCCUAUGGUGUGUCAGGUGCGGAGUGAGGCACUGAACGUGGAUCAUGUGCUAGGACUCCCUCACAGUGAUGGACGAAAGGGAGAGUGUCUGACCAGCCAGUAACAGCCAGGAGAGCGAACAGCUAGUUUGCUCCUUCUCAUCUCUCUCAUCUCCUUGAUUUCGGUUUAUAGUUUGUAAUUUCUAAUUCCCCGAGAGUUUCUGAGGCUGCCUGAAAUGUCAGCACGUUGCCUCCCCUGCUUUCCUUAAUUUAUAUGAUGACCAUUACCUGAAAACACCACCUGUGUGUCAGGCACCAUUCUAGAUUAAGGACGAAUAAGGUAGUCUCUUCUCUUAGGAGCCCAUGUAAACCUAAGAUGAACACGGAUAUAUGGUGUAAAUGAGUACAUAUAUUCACAUCCAUGAGACCUGUGCACUACAACCAAUAUUAAACAUACAUUAACAUUAAAAAAUAGAAUUUCUAAAGCUAACAAGGCCACCUAGACAUCCCCUGGUCUCACAGAUCCUGAAACAGUUCAAAAAAGCUAAGAAGGGAUCCCUGGGUGGCGCAGCGGUUUAGCGCCUGACUUUAGCCCAGGGCGCGAUCCUGGAGACCCGGGAUCGAAUCCCACGUCCGGCUCCCGGUGCAUGGAGCCUGCUUCUCCCUCUGCCUAUGUCUCUGCCUCUCUCUCUCUCUGUGUGUGUGUCUGUGACUAUCAUAAAUAAAUAAAUAAAUUAAUUAAUUAAAAAAAAAAAGCUAAGAAGACUUUCCCAGGUCCCUCAGUAAGCCUGCAGUAACUCUGGAACUAGAACUUACUGACUACACAUUCCUACUGACUACACACAUGCCUAUGAGUCAGCGCUCAAACAACAUAUGUGCUCCAACAAGGCUUCCAGCAAAAGGGGUCACUCCAAUGGCUCGGAUGGCCACAAGGCAUUGCCACUCUUGCUCACAUAACACAUAACCCAACUCCGUUAGAACACUAGCUUCUCUUUGAUGUUGGGCCACAAACACUCAAACAUGCAGUUGAUGGGCAGUUAAACUCCCCUCAAAGAGUUCUGUGUUCCUCAACUAACCACUCCCCGCCAACCUGGUUUAAU